AUUUAUAUAAGAGUUUGAUCCUGGCUCAGGAUGAACGCUGGCGGCGUGCCUAACACAUGCAAGUCGAGCGGAGUGCUUGGUUGGAAAUUUUCGGAUGGAAAACCAAGUUACUUAGCGGCGGACGGGUGAGUAACGCGUGG
rnacentral:rRNA from 1 species